CAUAGGUUAAUGAGGCGAACCGGGGGAACUGAAACAUCUAAGUACCCCGAGGAAAAGAAAUCAACCGAGAUUCCCCCAGUAGCGGCGAGCGAACGGGGAGGAGCCCAGAGCCUGAAUCAGUGUGUGUGUUAGUGGAAGCGUCUGGAAAGGCGCGCGAUACAGGGUGACAGCCCCGUACACAAAAAUGCACAUAUUGUGAGCUCGAUGAGUAGGGCGGGACACGUGGUAUCCUGUCUGAAUAUGGGGGGACCAUCCUCCAAGGCUAAAUACUCCUGACUGACCGAUAGUGAACCAGUACCGUGAGGGAAAGGCGAAAAGAACCCCGGCGAGGGGAGUGAAAAAGAACCUGAAACCGUGUACGUACAAGCAGUGGGAGCCUCUUAAUGGGGUGACUGCGUACCUUUUGUAUAAUGGGUCAGCGACUUAUAUUCUGUAGCAAGGUUAACCGAAUAGGGGAGCCGAAGGGAAACCGAGUCUUAACUGGGCGUUAAGUUGCAGGGUAUAGACCCGAAACCCGGUGAUCUAGCCAUGGGCAGGUUGAAGGUUGGGUAACACUAACUGGAGGACCGAACCGACUAAUGUUGAAAAAUUAGCGGAUGACUUGUGGCUGGGGGUGAAAGGCCAAUCAAACCGGGAGAUAGCUGGUUCUCCCCGAAAGCUAUUUAGGUAGCGCCUCGUGAAUUCAUCUCCGGGGGUAGAGCACUGUUUCGGCAAGGGGGUCAUCCCGACUUACCAACCCGAUGCAAACUGCGAAUACCGGAGAAUGUUAUCACGGGAGACACACGGCGGGUGCUAACGUCCGUCGUGAAGAGGGAAACAACCCAGACCGCCAGCUAAGGUCCCAAAGUCAUGGUUAAGUGGGAAACGAUGUGGGAAGGCCCAGACAGCCAGGAUGUUGGCUUAGAAGCAGCCAUCAUUUAAAGAAAGCGUAAUAGCUCACUGGUCGAGUCGGCCUGCGCGGAAGAUGUAACGGGGCUAAACCAUGCACCGAAGCUGCGGCAGCGACACUAUGUGUUGUUGGGUAGGGGAGCGUUCUGUAAGCCUGUGAAGGUGGCCUGUGAGGGUUGCUGGAGGUAUCAGAAGUGCGAAUGCUGACAUAAGUAACGAUAAAGCGGGUGAAAAGCCCGCUCGCCGGAAGACCAAGGGUUCCUGUCCAACGUUAAUCGGGGCAGGGUGAGUCGACCCCUAAGGCGAGGCCGAAAGGCGUAGUCGAUGGGAAACAGGUUAAUAUUCCUGUACUUGGUGUUACUGCGAAGGGGGGACGGAGAAGGCUAUGUUGGCCGGGCGACGGUUGUCCCGGUUUAAGCGUGUAGGCUGGUUUUCCAGGCAAAUCCGGAAAACCAAGGCUGAGGCGUGAUGACGAGGCACUACGGUGCUGAAGCGACAAAUGCCCUGCUUCCAGGAAAAGCCUCUAAGCAUCAGGUAACAUCAAAUCGUACCCCAAACCGACACAGGUGGUUAGGUAGAGAAUACCAAGGCGCUUGAGAGAACUCGGGUGAAGGAACUAGGCAAAAUGGUGCCGUAACUUCGGGAGAAGGCACGCUGAUAUGUAGGUGAAGCGACUUGCUCGUGGAGCUGAAAUCAGUCGAAGAUACCAGCUGGCUGCAACUGUUUAUUAAAAACACAGCACUGUGCAAACACGAAAGUGGACGUAUACGGUGUGACGCCUGCCCGGUGCCGGAAGGUUAAUUGAUGGGGUUAGCGGUAACGCGAAGCUCUUGAUCGAAGCCCCGGUAAACGGCGGCCGUAACUAUAACGGUCCUAAGGUAGCGAAAUUCCUUGUCGGGUAAGUUCCGACCUGCACGAAUGGCGUAAUGAUGGCCAGGCUGUCUCCACCCGAGACUCAGUGAAAUUGAACUCGCUGUGAAGAUGCAGUGUACCCGCGGCAAGACGGAAAGACCCCGUGAACCUUUACUAUAGCUUGACACUGAACAUUGAGCCUUGAUGUGUAGGAUAGGUGGGAGGCUUUGAAGUGUGGACGCCAGUCUGCAUGGAGCCGACCUUGAAAUACCACCCUUUAAUGUUUGAUGUUCUAACGUUGGCCCGUAAUCCGGGUUGCGGACAGUGUCUGGUGGGUAGUUUGACUGGGGCGGUCUCCUCCUAAAGAGUAACGGAGGAGCACGAAGGUUGGCUAAUCCUGGUCGGACAUCAGGAGGUUAGUGCAAUGGCAUAAGCCAGCUUGACUGCGAGCGUGACGGCGCGAGCAGGUGCGAAAGCAGGUCAUAGUGAUCCGGUGGUUCUGAAUGGAAGGGCCAUCGCUCAACGGAUAAAAGGUACUCCGGGGAUAACAGGCUGAUACCGCCCAAGAGUUCAUAUCGACGGCGGUGUUUGGCACCUCGAUGUCGGCUCAUCACAUCCUGGGGCUGAAGUAGGUCCCAAGGGUAUGGCUGUUCGCCAUUUAAAGUGGUACGCGAGCUGGGUUUAGAACGUCGUGAGACAGUUCGGUCCCUAUCUGCCGUGGGCGCUGGAGAACUGAGGGGGGCUGCUCCUAGUACGAGAGGACCGGAGUGGACGCAUCACUGGUGUUCGGGUUGUCAUGCCAAUGGCACUGCCCGGUAGCUAAAUGCGGAAGAGAUAAGUGCUGAAAGCAUCUAAGCACGAAACUUGCCCCGAGAUGAGUUCUCCCUGAGACUUAGAGUCUCCUGAAGGAACGUUGAAGACGACGACGUUGAUAGGCCGGGUGUGUAAGCGCAGCGAUGCGUUGAGCUAACCGGUACUAAUGAACCGUGAGGCUUAACCUU
rnacentral:rRNA from 1 species